CUUAGUAACGGCGAGUGAAGCGGCAAAAGCUCAAAUUUGAAAUCUGGUACCUUCGGUGCCCGAGUUGUAAUUUGGAGAGGGCAACUUUGGGGCCGUUCCUYGUCUAUGUUCCUUGGAACAGGACGUCAUAGAGGGUGAGAAUCCCGUGUGGCGAGGAGUGCGGUUCUUUGUAAAGUGCCUUCGAAGAGUCGAGUUGUUUGGGAAUGCAGCUCUAAGUGGGUGGUAAAUUCCAUCUAAAGCUAAAUAUUGGCGAGAGACCGAUAGCGAACAAGUACAGUGAUGGAAAGAUGAAAAGAACUUUGAAAAGAGAGUGAAAAAGUACGUGAAAUUGUUGAAAGGGAAGGGCAUUUGAUCAGACAUGGUGUUUUGUGCCCUCUGCUCCUUGUGGGUAGGGGAAUCUCGCAUUUCACUGGGCCAGCAUCAGUUUUGGUGGCAGGAUAAAUCCAUAGGAAUGUAGCUUGCCUCGGUAAGUAUUAUAGCCUGUGGGAAUACUGCCAGCUGGGACUGAGGACUGCGACGUAAGUCAAGGAUGCUGGCAUA
rnacentral:rRNA from 1 species